UACGAAGGGGGCUAGCGUUGCUCGGAAUCACUGGGCGUAAGGGGUGCGUAGGCGGGUCUUUAAGUCAGGGGUGAAAUCCUGGAGCUCAACUCCAGAACUGCCUUUGAUACUGAAGAUCUUGAGUUCGGGAGAGGUGAGUGGAACUGCGAGUGUAGAGGUGAAAUUCGUAGAUAUUCGCAAGAACACCAGUGGCGAAGGCGGCUCACUGGCCGAUACUGACGCUGAGGCACGAAAGCGUGGGGAGCAAACAGG
rnacentral:rRNA from 1 species